rnacentral:rRNA from 1 species
GACGAACGCUGGCGGCGUGCUUAACACAUGCAAGUCGAACGGAAAGGCCCUGCUUUUGUGGGGUGCUCGAGUGGCGAACGGGUGAGUAACACGUGAGUAACCUGCCCUUGACUUUGGGAUAACUUCAGGAAACUGGGGCUAAUACCGGAUAGGAGCUCCUGCUGCAUGGUGGGGGUUGGAAAGUUUCGGCGGUUGGGGAUGGACUCGCGGCUUAUCAGCUUGUUGGUGGGGUAGUGGCUUACCAAGGCUUUGACGGGUAGCCGGCCUGAGAGGGUGACCGGCCACAUUGGGACUGAGAUACGGCCCAGACUCCUACGGGAGGCAGCAGUGGGGAAUAUUGCACAAUGGGCGGAAGCCUGAUGCAGCAACGCCGCGUGCGGGAUGACGGCCUUCGGGUUGUAAACCGCUUUCGCCUGUGACGAAGCGUGAGUGACGGUAAUGGGUAAAGAAGCACCGGCUAACUACGUGCCAGCAGCCGCGGUGAUACGUAGGGUGCGAGCGUUGUCCGGAUUUAUUGGGCGUAAAGGGCUCGUAGGUGGUUGAUCGCGUCGGAAGUGUAAUCUUGGGGCUUAACCCUGAGCGUGCUUUCGAUACGGGUUGACUUGAGGAAGGUAGGGGAGAAUGGAAUUCCUGGUGGAGCGGUGGAAUGCGCAGAUAUCAGGAGGAACACCAGUGGCGAAGGCGGUUCUCUGGGCCUUUCCUGACGCUGAGGAGCGAAAGCGUGGGGAGCGAACAGGCUUAGAUACCCUGGUAGUCCACGCUGUAAACGGUGGGUACUAGGUGUGGGGUCCAUUCCACGGGUUCCGUGCCGUAGCUAACGCUUUGAGUACCCCGCCUGGGGAGUACGGCCGCAAGGCUAAAACUCAAAGGAAUUGACGGGGCCCCCCACAAGCGGCGGAGCAUGCGGAUUAAUUCGAUGCAACGCGUAGAACCUUACCUGGGUUUGACAUGGAUCGGGAGUGCUCAGAGAUGGGUGUGCCUCUUUUGGGGUCGGUUCACAGGUGGUGCAUGGCUGUCGUCAGCUCGUGUCGUGAGAUGUUGGGUUAAGUCCCGCAACGAGCGCAACCCUUGUUCACUGUUGCCAGCACGUUAUGGUGGGGACUCAGUGGAGACCGCCGGGGUCAACUCGGAGGAAGGUGGGGAUGACGUCAAGUCAUCAUGCCCCUUAUGUCCAGGGCUUCACGCAUGCUACAAUGGCUGGUACAGAGAGUGGCGAGCCUGUGAGGGUGAGCGAAUCUCGGAAAGCCGGUCUCAGUUCGGAUUGGGGUCUGCAACUCGACCUCAUGAAGUCGGAGUCGCUAGUAAUCGCAGAUCAGCAACGCUGCGGUGAAUACGUUCCCGGG